UACGAAGGGUGCAAGCGUUACUCGGAAUUACUGGGCGUAAAGCGUGCGUAGGUGGUUUGUUAAGUCUGUUGUGAAAGCCCCGGGCUCAACCUGGGAAUGGCAAUGGAUACUGGCAGGCUAGAGUGCGGUAGAGGGUAGUGGAAUUCCCGGUGUAGCGGUGAAAUGCGUAGAGAAUCGGGAGGAACACCAGUGGCGAAGGCGGCUACCUGGACCAGCACUGACACUGAGGCACGAAAGCGUGGGGAGCAAACAGGG
rnacentral:rRNA from 1 species